GUACGGGAGGCAGCAGUGGGGAAUUGUUCGCAAUGGGCGCAAGCCUGACGACGCAACGCCGCGUGGAGGAUGAAGAUCUUCGGGUCGUAAACUCCUUUCGAUCGGGAAGAACGUUUUCGGGGUGAAUAAUCCCGGGAAGUGACGGUACCGAGAGAAGAAGCCCCGGCUAACUCCGUGCCAGCAGCCGCGGUAAUACGGGGGGGGCAAGCGUUGUUCGGAAUUACUGGGCGUAAAGGGCUCGUAGGCGGCCAACUAAGUCCGACGUGAAAUCCCUAGGCUUAACCUAGGAACUGCGUCGGAUACUGGAUGGCUUGAAUCCGGGAGAGGGAUGCAGAAUUCCAGGUGUAGCGGUGAAAUGCGUAGAUAUCUGGAGGAAUACCGGUGGCGAAGGCGGCAUCCUGGACCGGCAUUGACGCUGAUGAGCGAAAGCUAGGGGAGCAAACGGGAUUAGAUACCCUGGUA
rnacentral:rRNA from 1 species